UCAGGCAAAUAAGGGUUGUUGGGGGAUGCCUGCCGGCGCUAUAAGUCGAUGAAGGUCGUGGUAAGCUGCGAUAAGCGACGGGGAGCUGCAAACAAGUUUUGAUCCGUUGAUUACCGAAUGGGGGAACCCGUAUGAAGUCAUGUUCAUACAUCGAUAUAUGAAUAGAUAGUAUAUUGAGGUUAAACUGGGAGAAUUGAACCAUCUAAGUAACCCAAGGAAAAGAAAUCAAAAGAGAUUCCGAAAGUAGCGGCGAGCGAAAUUGGAUUAGCCCAAACCGUUGAUAUUUAUAUCUACGGGGUUGUAGGACUCUCGUAUAGGAGUUAAAAUUAUAUUUGUAUAAGAAUAGUCUGGGAAGGCUAACCAAAGAGGGUGAAAGUCCCGUACUUUAAACGGAUAUAACUCCUGGGAGUAUCCUGAGUACAAUCAGACACUAGGAAUCUGGUUGGAAUCUGGGUGGACCGCCAUCCAAGGCUAAAUACUAUAUAGCGACCGAUAGUGAAUAAGUACCGCGAGGGAAAGGUGAAAAGAACCCCGAAAGGGGAGUGAAAUAGAACCUGAAACCGACAACCUACAAGCCGUAGGAGCCUAUAUUUAUAUUGGUGACUGCGCGCCUUUUGCUUAAUGAUCCGGCGAGUUAUUGCGUGUAGCAAGGUUAAGCGAUAUAAGUCGCGGAGCCGAAGGGAAACCGAGUCUUAAUAGGGCGAUUUAAGUUGCGCGCAAUAGACCCGAAGCCAUGUGAUCUAUCUAUGUCCAGGUUGAAGCUUGGGUAAAACCAAGUGGAGGACCGAACUCUAGAGUGUUGAAAAAUUCAGGGAUGAGGCGUUGAUAGGGGUGAAAGGCCAAACAAACAUGGCGAUAGCUGGUUCUCUCCGAAAUAGUUUUAGGACUAGCCUCAUAUAUUCAGUUUAGGCGGUAGAGCUCUGAUUGGACUAGGGCCCUUCACCGGGUACCAAACCCAGAUAAACUUCGAAUGCUUAAACUUAACAAUAUGGGAGUCAGACUGCGGGCUAUAAGGUUCGUAGUCGAGAGGGAAAUAGCCCAGACCGUCGGCUAAGGUCCCAGAUUAUAUGCUAAGUGGUAAAGGAUGUGAGGCGGCGCAAACAGCCAGGAGGUUGGCUUAGAAGCAGCCACUCCUUUAAAGAGUGCGUAAUAGCUCACUGGUCGAGUCGCCUUGCGCCGAAAAUUCAACGGGGCUCAAGCAUAUAACCGAAGCCGCGGAUUUUAUCUUCUUGCGAGGAGGUAGAGUGGUAGGAGAGCGUUGCGUAUGCCUAUGAAGCAUAAUGGCGAUGUUAUGUGGAGGUAUCGCAAGUGAAGAUGCCGGAAUGAGUAACGAAAAAACUGAUGAAAAAUCAGUUCGCCGAAAGCUUAAGGUUUCCUGGGUAAAGGUAAUCUUCCCAGGGUUAGUCGGCCCCUAAGGCGAGGCUGAAAAGCGUAGCCGAUGGGAAACUGGUUUAUAUUCCAGUACCUGUUAUAGUAACGAUGGGAUGACGCGGAAGGCGAUUUUGGGCCCGGGCGUUGGUUGCCCCGGGGGAGGUAGCGAGACGUUGAUGGAUGUAGUUAAAUGCGCAUUCAGAGUUGAGUUACUGAAGGAGUGAAGGUACGCCGGAACGAAGCCAAAUAGUCAAGCUGCCAAGAAAUAAUCUCUAAGUUUAUGCUAUAUCAGACCGUACCGUAAACCGACACAGGUAAGCGGGAUGAAUAUUCUAAGGCGCUCGAGAUAACUAUCGUUAAGGAACUCGGCAAAUUACAUCCGUAACCUCGGGAUAAGGAUGGCCUACCCCGCUCGACGGGGAGGCUGCAGAGAAAUGGCUCAAGCGACUGUUUAUCAAAAACACAAGACUCUGCGAACGCGCAAGCGGAAGUAUAGGGUCUGACACCUGCCCGGUGCUGGAAGGUCAAGAGGAGAGGUUAGCGCAAGCGAAGCUUUGAAUUUAAGCCCCAGUAAACGGCGGCCGUAACUAUAACGGUCCUAAGGUAGCGAAAUUCCUUGUCGGGUAAGUUCCGACCUGCACGAAAGGUGUAACGAUUUGAGCGCUGUCUCAACGAUAGACUCGGUGAAAUUGAAGUAGCGGUGAAGAUGCCGCUUAACCAUGACUAGACGGAGAGACCCCAUGAACCUUUACUGUAACUUGACAUUGAUAUUUGAUGUAAGAUGUGUAGGAUAGGUGGGAGACUUUGAAGCGGGUACGCUAGUAUCCGUGGAGUCGUCCUUGAAAUACCACCCUUUUUGUAUUAAAUAUCUAACUAUUGACGUGAAUCCGGCAAUAGGACAUUGUCAGGCGGGCGGUUUGACUGGGGCGGUCGCCUCCCAAAAUGUAACGGAGGCGCGCGAAGGUUCCCUCAGCAUGAUUGGAAACCAUGCGUAGAGCGUAAAGGCAUAAGGGAGCUUGACUGUAAGACUGACAAGUCGAGCAGGGUGGAAACACGGUCUUAGUGAUCCGGCGGUUGCGAGUGGAAGCGCCGUCGCUCAACGGAUAAAAGGUACUCUGGGGAUAACAGGCUGAUUUUGCCCAAGAGUUCAUAUCGACGGCAAAGUUUGGCACCUCGAUGUCGGCUCAUCGCAUCCUGGGGCUGGAGAAGGUCCCAAGGGUUUGGCUGUUCGCCAAUUAAAGCGGUACGUGAGCUGGGUUCAGAACGUCGCGAGACAGUUCGGUCCCUAUCUGUCAUGGUCGUUGGAUAUUUGAGAGGAUCUGCUUCUAGUACGAGAGGACCGAAGUGGACAAACCUCUGGCGUACCAGUUGUUCUGCCAAGGGCAUCGCUGGGUAACUAAGUUUGGAAGGGAUAACCGCUGAAAGCAUCUAAGUGGGAAGCCUGCCUCAAGAUGAGAUAUCCCUCCCCGUUUAACGGGGCUAAAGAAUCGUUUUAGAUGAAGACGUUGAUAGGCUGUAGGUGUAAGAUGUGAGAGCAUUUUAGCCGAGCAGUACUAAUAAUUCGUGAGGCCUGACCAU
rnacentral:rRNA from 1 species